rnacentral:rRNA from 1 species
ACGCUGGCGGCAGGCUUAACACAUGCAAGUCGAACGGUAACAGGAAUUAGCUUGCUAAUUUGCUGACGAGUGGCGGACGGGUGAGUAAUGCUUGGGAAUCUGGCUUAUGGAGGGGGAUAACUACGGGAAACUGUAGCUAAUACCGCGUAAAAUCUUCGGAUUAAAGGGUGGGACUUUCGAGCCACCUGCCAUAAGAUGAGCCCAAGUGGGAUUAGGUAGUUGGUUAGGUAAAGGCUGACCAAGCCGACGAUCUCUAGCUGGUCUGAGAGGAUGACCAGCCACACUGGAACUGAGACACGGUCCAGACUCCUACGGGAGGCAGCAGUGGGGAAUAUUGCACAAUGGGGGGAACCCUGAUGCAGCCAUGCCGCGUGAAUGAAGAAGGCCUUCAGGUUGUAAAGUUCUUUCGGUGACGAGGAAGGUUGAUAGGUUAAUAGCCUAUCAAAUUGACGUUAAUCACAGAAGAAGCACCGGCUAACUCCGUGCCAGCAGCCGCGGUAAUACGGGGGGUGCGAGCGUUAAUCGGAAUAACUGGGCGUAAAGGGCACGCAGGCGGUGACUUAAGUGAGAUGUGAAAGCCCCGAGCUUAACUUGGGAAUUGCAUUUCAUACUGGGUCGCUAGAGUACUUUAGGGAGGGGUAGAAUUCCACGUGUAGCGGUGAAAUGCGUAGAGAUGUGGAGGAAUACCGAAGGCGAAGGCAGCCCCUUGGGAAUGUACUGACGCUCAUGUGCGAAAGCGUGGGGAGCAAACAGGAUUAGAUACCCUGGUAGUCCACGCUGUAAACGAUGUCGAUUUGGGGAUUGGGCUUUGAGCCUGGUGCCCGUAGCUAACGUGAUAAAUCGACCGCCUGGGGAGUACGGCCGCAAGGUUAAAACUCAAAUGAAUUGACGGGGGCCCGCACAAGCGGUG